rnacentral:lncRNA from 1 species
AGAAGAGCGACUCUCCCUUUGUGCACCAGUCCACAGACGCAGAGUGACAAGACUGGGGACAAGAAGACAGAGCAAUUGCAGCACAACUUUCUUCAAAUCAAUGCAUCCUAAAUCAAUCGAAAUGCUCUCGGAGCUUUUGGGAAAUGAUUCUGCAGUUUACAGUUAAUUCAAAAAGCAGCAACUUCUGCUCGGGAACACAGAUUCCAGCGUCCUUAACGACAUGACUUGCUGUGGAGGAGCACGUGAGGUUUUGUGGUCACAGAACAGAGGAAGAUUAUGAACCUCGAUGACAUCACCGGGGACAGGUCCCAUCCCAGGAGGACACUGGGAGCUUAUCGAGAUGUGGACAGACUGCAGUCCUGAGAGUGGAGAAACUUAGAAGGGAAGAUGUCCAUUCCCUAAAACAUGGAAGAGUUAGAUAAACACACCAUAGGGUCCUGACUUACCUCAUCUACCAGAGAGCUGGAGUCACAGAACUACAGAUUUCUUGAAACACUGGGGAACUGGAAUGUGCCCCACCUGAGUCCAGUUUACCUGUGAGUGAGGAACCACAGCUGCCUUAGAUGUGUCUAAAGUUGGGUUUCUUCUGAAAGUUGGAUGUGAGAAGUCCAGAAACCUGGACACAGAAGCAUUUACAUGAAGCAAGCAUGGCCUCAUCUCUACAGACCUCCUGAGGACCACAGGGAAGAGCCAGUACAUGGAGAAGCAAGGACUUGCAUCCCCUGGACGGCAGAUUCAGAAGAGUGGGCAGCCCCUGCUGUAGGAAAGGAGGAAGUGCCUCUGGCUUAGAUCCUUCUGCCCCAUUUCUCCCACGGACAGGAGACAUGGCUGACUUAGGGGAAGCAGAGCUCUUGUCUUGCCUUUGGAGAAGGCUCAUCUCAGCUGGAACAAAGAGAGAAGGCAAGAUUUACACUUAUGGGGAAGAAGGAUUCCAUCCUAGACACCAUUGGAGAUGUCUUCUCACUAUGCCCAGAGCCAGUGUGGUUGCCACAGAGAGGAAGGGGCUCAGUGUCAUUAAGUCAUCUGUAACUGUGGCCCAGUGACACGGGUCUUUGUUGGUCUGAAGAUAAGUUAGGACAACACAGAGCAUCACUUGGAAAGCCAAGCAGACGGCGAUGAAGUGCGACUUUGGAAGAUCUGAGAGGAAAACAUGUCAGUGCGGAAAUAUGUGCUGGUAAAAGCACAGAAGUGUCGAGGUAUCUUCAGGAAAACACUGGAAAGACUUCAUUAGCAGCACACCUGCUCUCUAAGAACUCUGAGAGAUAUUUCAUUAAGGAAGGAAAGCCAGGCAGGAACUGAGAUCUGCACAGAGGAAUCGACUGGUGAUGUAAUAGAAACCAAAGUGUGAAAAUUAUUUCUUCCCAUUUUAAUUGCCGCAAAGAUAAUUGACUGCUUGAAAUAGAAAUUGUGGUAGUGGC